rnacentral:rRNA from 1 species
GCAGGUGAAGCUGCGGAAGGAUCAUUA